UGGAAUGGUCUGCAUAUAUGUUAUGGCAUGAGGAAAUUGAAAAGAAAAAGCAAGAAUGUUCCCCCCAGUCAGGUGCAACAGGAGGGGCACGUAAAGGAGAGGGUACUGGUGUUGCCUGUUUGUAUCCCUCACUGUACAAUUUAAAAAGAAAUGUUAAAAAUCCUCCGCCUUAUAAUGAUGAUGAGGAUUUUUUGAUUAAUCAUGAGAUUAUGAAUCCCUCUUUGGGUCACUUCCCCUCAGCAGAUGAAUGAUGCACCACAGCUUGUACCCCAAAAUUUAGCUGGUGCCUCAGCCAUGUUGCAUUGAGGUGGUAGACCUGAGAGGGAUAUUAGACUGCCUAAAAGAUUUGCUGAUCAUGCUGUGGUUACUAUCAGGUUUAUCAGGAUGUAGAAAUGUGUUGCCUGAGAGUGAUGGGAGUGAGGCUAUGAUUUUACCUAUUAGAGAAGUGGGACAGAUGGAUAAUGAUGGGAGACCACGGAGGAUUUGUCAACCGUGGAGCCCACAAGACAUAGCAUUUUUACAGGUAUCAUUUCCUGCCCCCUCUAGAUCCAAAUGGGUUUGUAAAACAUUUAAAAAUAAUGUGUGCCAGCUAUUUCCCCACAACAUAAGAUCUUAAUGAGUUAAUGGAGACAGUAUUAACCCCUACAGAACAUACUAAAUGGGUGGCAGGAUAUGACGAGUCACCUUUUUCAUGGCCUGCAGGGGUGGGGGGACAAGCAGUUGCACACAUAUGGGAAAAUUGCCCUGAUGAGAGGAGUGAUGUUGUUCUUAAAAAAAUUGUAUGCAUUCCUCAGCAUCAAAGUAAAAACAGUUUUUACCCAGCCUAUUGACUAUACAUAGCAUAGUGCAAAAGAAAGGAGAAAACCACUAUGAAUAUGGGGAAGCAAUUAAGGUUUUUGGAAGUUUUGAAGAUAUCACGGUUGAAUCAAUUAAGCCGUUCAUAGUGAAUACCUUAGUAAAUGCUUUGGAUGCAUCAGAAAUUUGACAAGCUAUUCAAAUCAAGGAAAAUGCAAAGGCUGAGCACAUAAUGCUACAAGCUGAACAAAUUCCUGUUAGAUAUUAUGCACAUCAAAUGUUUCAAUUGUGAUGGAUAUGGUCAUAUAGCAACAGAUUGCAAGGAGGUAAAGGGGACAAGAAAGCAAUUAGAAGAAAAAGACAGACUAGAUGUAGAGGAAGAUUGGGGUCUGAAUAUGUAUUGUUAGUGUACCAGUGACCCAAGGUCCAGAACCUAUGGUACAUUUGAAAGUAAAUGAAUUGUAUGUGAUACUGAGGGAAGAAGAAGUAAGUGAUUUUGGUGGGGAGAAUGUAUAUUUAGUGGAAGACCAGCAUUGCCAUCAUUGUUUAAUUCUGAAUGGUCAAGGCUGGGCCUAGAAUCUGUAUUGGCACUGGUGUGUUCUUCAUGUGUUAUUUGUUUACAAUACAAUGCAGGUCAGAGACCUAAAUCAUCCUCCCUGUUCAUGAGGUCCAUUUGUAAAUUUACAAAUGGAUUUCAUUGAAUUACCAAAGGUAAUGCAGUACCGGUAUGUGCUAGUAAUAUUAGAUACAUUCUCAGGUUUGGUUGAGGCUUAUCCUUGUUGCCAUGCGGAUAUUGUCUACAGUGUCUAAGAAAUUGUUACAAGAAUUUAUACCCAGGUAUGGAUUGCCUCGGCACAUUUACUCAGAUCAGGGAACACAUUUUAUAGGAAAAGUAGUGCAACAGAUAGCAAAAAUUUUGCAAAUCCCUUACCAUUUACAUUGCUCUCAUCAUCCUCAGUCAGAAGGAGCAGUAGAAAGGGCCAAUGGAACAUUGAAAAAUAAAAUUGCAAAAAUUGUAGCAGAGACAAAGUUAAAGUGGCCUGAUGCACUUCCUCUUGCCUUAAUGUCUAUGAGAUUCUCUCCAGCUCGAAAGCAGGGUUAUCCCAUCAUGAAAUUCUAAUGGGAAGACCAAUGUUCACAGGAGGGCUACCUCUAAAAUUUAAUUCUCAUGAGAUAAAUGAUGAUUUGUUGAUGUCAUAUUGCAUGUAGCUAACAAAACGAUUAGUCUCUCUAUAUGCAGGUAAAAGCUGUACAGCGAACAAGUGAAUACCAACCUUUGCAUGCCAUCGCUCCUGGAGAUUAUGUUAUGAUAAAAGACCAUUCACGAAAGCACGCGUUGCAACCAAGGUGGAAAGGACCUUCUCAAGUGUUAUUAACCACUAAUUCAGCUGUUAAAGUCGCAGGGGUUAAAUCUUGGAUCCACAUUUCCCAUUGUAAACUGACAAGCGCUGAAAAAGAUUUUUUCACUGGAAGAAGAAUAGAGGACUAAGGAAGCCGUUUUCCCUUCUAAAAAGGGGUACUUUAUAAGGGGAGUAUCUUUCUAAUCCAAAGUCAACUCUACUGUUUUUCUUCAUGAAUCUCAAACUGGUUAAACUUAUAUUGUCCUUAAUGAUUGUCAUUAUGACAUUUUUUAAAUUUUUCAUCCUCUACACUACGUUAGCUCCUCUUUUUUUUUUCUUUAAUACACGUGUAGCUUGGGCCAGGGAGCCAAGUAUUUUUCUUCUUGGGAGAUAGAUAAUCAUUUCGUUAAAACAGCUACUGAAUUGUAUAAAUUGUCAAACAAAAGUAAUCAUUGUUGGGUUUGUGGGUUUGCUCCGCAUUCCAUGAACUAUGGUUAUCCUUUUGUGGGGGUGCCAUGGUCUAUGGAAUCUUUAUGGGUCUUUGUGAGAAAAUAAGAGCAAAUAAAACGGGGUUUGUUGGAUUUAUUCAGAAUGAAGUAUCCAAAUCUGGGGAACCUGCUAAGGUUCAUUUAACAUAUCCUAUUACUAGCAGAGCAGUAGUAAUUUCUAACAGGGAUCAGAAAAGUCCUGACAAGAUUGUUAAGCCUAUAAGCAAUGCUAUUGUUAUUUUUGAAAACAAUGUCCUUUACAAUCUAUGUGGGUCUGAAACUAAUUCUGCCCCUUGUACUGGUAGAUUGAAAGCUUUUUGUUGGAAACCCUUAUUAGAAGAUAUUUUGACAAAAUGUCCCAUCAAGGAUAGAAUCCCGGUGAUUACUAAUCAUGUAUGGGUAAAUUUGACUUCUGAGGUAGAAAUCAUGGAUAAUAAUUAUGACCAGAAUGAACAUUUAAAUGUCACUAUUUUGAGAUGGGCCUACUUUAAUACUAAAACUUCCAAUCUUUUUAUGCUACUGCCCUAUAUUAAUCAACCUAUUUUUGACUGCUCAGAUUCUCGUGUUAUUGAUAUCCAUCUUCCAUUUGGGGUAUACUAUUUAUCUGGUAGUUGGGCGGUAAAAAGACUUCCAUGCAAUUGGGUGGAAACUUGUUAUCUAGGUAAUAUUAUCCCAGCGUUAACCCUUCAUGAAAAUUUGCCUGAAGGAAGGGUGAGGAAUAAAAGAAAGGUUAUUAGUUCCAAAAAAAGAUAAAACCGAAAGAACUGUAAAAUCUGGUGAAGAAGAUAGGCUAUUUGCAGGUUUUGUACCUACAUGGGGGGUUAUUGAAUUAAUGUACAAAUUAAACUUGUUAGGAGAUAUACUAGAUGAAGCCUUUAAUAAUACAGGAGAUGCUAUUGAAAAAUUGUCUGCAGAACAGGAACAAGCUUCAGCUAUGAUUAUGCAAAAUAGGUUUGCCCUAGAUUAUUUGUUGGCCUCCAAAGGUGGUGUUUGUGCACUAAUAAAAACAAGAUGUUGUUUAAAGAUAUAUAAUGUUACUGGUCAGAUUCAUACAGAUGUAGAAUUAAAUUAAACUUAGAGAAGUUCACGAUACUUCUUCGGGAGGUUUAAAUUGGGGUUUUGACUGGAGUUUGGUUUAACUAAUUGGUUGGGAACAAUGGGAAAACGUAUUCUCAUUGGAGUUAUUUUAGUAGUAUUGAUGCUUGUCUUUAUAUAUGUUGCAGUGAAUGUCCUAAAGUGUUCGUGCCGAUUAAUCCUCAAGAGCUGUUCACCUUCAUCUCCCCCUGGCACAAUGUCGAAUGUUGAAAUGUCUCCUAUCCGGUCACAACUCAUACCGACUUGGAAUACAGACAUGCUUUCUCUGAAGAUAUUGAUCGUGUGCGCAUCUAUAUGGAAAGUCCUGCAAGUGCUGUUUAAAAUCACUAGCUCACUGAAUGACCUUCGCUAAACAUGGAAGUGUUGCACGGAGCUUUUUGUGGUGAAAGUCCUAGCACCAAAGGGAGGACUGUGAACAUAUGUAACCUGCUACUGACAUGCUGUCAGCCAUUUUGCUGUUUAUUCAUCAUCUUAAAAUAUAAUCAAAGAAGAAUAUUUACUCUAAGAAAUAAGAAGAAACUAUGUUUUAUUGCUACAAUUUAUUAAUGGAAGUCUGGACUGUUUUUUGGAUUGCAAAAGGAAAGGUUAUUUUGAAAGCGUGUCUUGUCAGAUGUUGCCAGGGGGGGAAAGGUGAAAUGUGUGCUUAAGUUGUGAAAGAGGAAGUCUUAUAUGUGUUAACUUUUAUCAUAGACAAGCGAUAUUUUAGCGAAGUAAGA